AACGAACGUUGGCGGCGUGGAUUAGGCAUGCAAGUCGAACGAAUCCCAGGGCCGUAGCAAUACGGUCCUGGGGGAAGUGGCGAAAGGGGCAGUAAGGCGUGGGUAACCUACCCCGGGGACCGGGAUAGCCAUCCUAACGGGUGGGUAAUACCGGGCGAUGUGGCGAGGGGGCGAUCUCCUUGUCAUGAAACGAAUUUCGCCUCGGGAGGGGCUCACGUGGUAUUAGCUAGUUGGUGGGGUAACGGCCCACCAAGGCUGAGAUGCCUAGCGGGUGUGAGAGCACGACCCGCGCCACUGGCACUGAGACACUGGCCAGACUCCUACGGGAGGCUGCAGUCGAGGAUCUUCGGCAAUGGGCGCAAGCCUG
rnacentral:rRNA from 1 species